UAAAGUUUACCAAAGCUGGAAACUUUUUUUACAUGACUAGAAAUAUUUUUCUCCAUAUAAAUUAAGGAAAAUGUUUUGGAUCCGUUGGAGGCUGCUCGCUCCGCAACCUCCGGAUCCUGGAACGUCCGAUCGAUCAUCAGGAGACAGCCGUGGGAGGGCCCACCACCGCACGACCUUAUCUCUUCGUCGCCCUCCUCGUCCACUCAUUCUUCCCCAUCUUUUUCUCUUCCAUCUCCCGACAUCACCACGCCGCCUGGUCGGCAUGGGCUCCCUCCACCACAGCGAGGCGCGCCGCUGCUGCCAGGCGCCACCGUCAUGCGAGGCGGCGGAGCUCCGAUGAGUAGGGCUGCAGAGCUCCUAGCUAUGCAGCGGCAGAGAUCCGAGCAGCGGGUCGGCGGAGCCCGAGCAGUGAGCCAGGCGGUGGGACCUGCAAAGCCACAGCCGCCGUGCAGCUCCUCGCCGGAGCUGCAGCGGGCGGAAGUCCGAGCUGCAAUGGUUCACCGUCGUAGCUGCAAAGUUGUGCUGGUGGUGCUGCAAGCGGUGCCGGGAAGCUGCAAGCGAUUCCAGCGGUGCUUCAAACCGUCGCCGCCCGAUCUGCAAAUAGACGCCGUGUGAGAUGCAAUCGAUUCCGGCGGUGCUGCAAGCGGCACCGGGAAGCUGCAGGUGAUUCCAGCGGUGCUGCAAACGGCCACCGCACAAGCUGCAAUUGGACGCCGCGAGAGCUGCAAGCGAUUCCGGUGGUGCUGCAAGCGGCGCCGGGAAGCUGCAAGCGAUUCCGGUGGUGCUGCAAAGGGACGCCGCCUGGGUUGGAAUCAGCUUCGCUGGGAGCUGCAAAUGGCCUUCGCCGGAGCUAUGGCAGCAUCUUCUCCAACGACGAUGGAGGCUCGCGAAGGUCUGUCGAGGACGCGCUGGUGCUGCCCGCCGAUGGCGGUGGUGCUGGGAGCAAGCGGGGCUUCCCUUCGGCGGCGGUGGUGUUGCGAGCUGGGCGGCCAGGGUUCUCUCCUCUACUCUUCUCCUCUCCUCACCUCACCUCUCCUCUCCUCGACAAGUAAAAGUCUAAGUCACACACGCUACCCGCACGCGGUGUGUGGCAAUGGCCUUCUACUUAUAGAGAGAGAGGGAGGGGGCAAUGGAGAGCUUUGAGGGAAGAGACGCACGGUAGGGGCGGGAAGUAGUAUUUCGGCAUUCCAUUCUCCGCUUCCCUGAUGAGUUUGAUGGACCGCCGAGAUGUAUCGGGCCUUGAACUAUGGACGAUAAAAGCCAAGUAAUUAUGUGAUCCCAUCGAUCCCUGCGGCAGGUACCAAUUUAUUUUAUAUAGUGACACACUUGUUGGGAUGCAAAGUGUGAUAGAAGAUGACGAUGCUUGUGCGGCUGCUUUGUCGCUGCAGAUAGAGAUGGGGUAAUCGGAGGCAGCUUCCCGAUGGUGGACCUGACCCCAGCGCGGCGAUGGCCUUUUCCGCGACGUCUUCUCCACCAUUGGCCCGGCCACGGGAGCAGCAGCAUGAGUGCUGGUUGAGCUCGUCACGUGGUUGCUUCCAUGCUACUGCUCCGUUUACACUUCUUCAGCACGGCCCUUAAGAUCGCCUUCGUUUGUCCAGUGGGAGUUCCUCCAGUCAUAGCUAUGCAAGAUUGAACAGCUGAAGAUGCAAGGAAUUUUUUUUGUUCCUUUGCUGUGGAUAUUCAGAAGAGAAGAGUAUUUGUCUUUAUCAUGCAAGAAAGAUGUUUUCACUAUGCUCUUUGCGCCAGGUUUGACAACUGUUCUUGCAAGGAUGUAAACAUGGUUAAUAUUGUUGUUGUUACUAUGUAGUUAGCCAUUUCAUUAACUCAUAGAAAAACAUAAAAUCCUUAAUAAGUGAGGAUACUAGAGUUGCUGAUGCCUCUGCGGAAUUCAAAUAUCAUGAUGUGGCUGUCGGUCCAGUGGCGCACAAUCCCACGACUCUGCUGCCUCCUUUGGCUCUCCGGCCUCCUCCUCAUUCACCCCACCGUCCUCCUCCUCCACUGCCACAUCUCUCUCCUACUAGGAUGGCGAUGUUGUCAUAGGUAUUGUCCGUGACCGAGCGCCUGUCUUGGCCCUUUUCAUGCAUUAGGAUCAAAUCUAGAUUCAUGUACUACUUGAACUGCCAUGCUCAAUAAUAGCCUUGUUCUCCUGAUUAACUAUAUAUUUAUUCUCUUCCAUUCUUGUAUUCAGCCAAUGAAAGUAGAGUGUAGUGAUUCGCUGGGAGUACAAGCUGAACAUGUUUUCUCUUUAUAUGCUUUAUCUAUAAACUGUGAACAAUUCAUUUUUUUAC